AGAAGAGAAAGGGUUACAAAGUUGGACAAUGAUUGAAUAGUUGGGUGGAAAAGUAAGGCACGAGAAAGAAAAAAGUUCUCACAACUAAUUCCCAAGCUUCUCAGGAAUUGUAAUCAAGUGCACCCUCCAAUUCAGUACAAUGGAAUCCUUCAGAUGGAUCUCAAGAAAUGGAGAACAACAACAGUUUUACUUCACUAUUAGUGGGAUCAUUUGAUCAUUCCCAGCCUCUGCAAUUUUCCUAACAAGGCUCAACAUCUAUGGUACACCAUACUCAAGCAGAGGAAAGAAAUGGUGGAUUGAGUCAACCAUCCAUGUGCCCUUCUCCUAAUGUUACACCUACCGUUCAUGAUCAAAUUUCCAAUUUUUUUCAUGAUUCGGAUCAUAUUUGUAUGUACUUCGAAACACAUUUGGAGUAGUAAGGAAUGAUAUGUCAU